rnacentral:lncRNA from 1 species
CUGGCUACAAAGCAUAUUCUGAAGUACACACCUGUGUAGGAUAAAUUGUAUGUCCUUUCAUGGACGCGGGCCGCCGAGCCAGGACCCGAAGAACCCGAGCGUGGUCUCGGACCAGCGCGUCUUCAUGAUCAGCCCGGAGAGUUGGGCGCUGGGGGCCAAGGCACGGCCCAGCUGGUCACAAGGGGGAGGGUCGGCGACGUGGUGCGCUGGUUCGGCGUCUCCGAGACGGACAACCUGGACACCUCGGUGAUCAUCUACCGCGCCGAGUUCCCCCGCCCGAUCGUCGACGAACCGCAGCUCCAGAUCCUCGAGGCCCCGUCCAUCGAGUCAUCCGUCCAUCCAGAUCCGGGUGACCACUCGACUCGCUUGCAGCAGCCGCCGCGGAAACACACCGUUGUUUUGACGACGAUCGGCACCCAGGCCGGCUACGCCAAGUACAGCAUCUCGUUCGCCCUCUACACCAGAGACCCGGUCGACUCGACGCCCCGACUCUUCGGCUACUUCAAGUGGGAUCCCACAUACGUCAGCGAUAACGUAAUGUGAAACAACAUUGAAAAAAAAAUGUGGUAGGUUUUACCAUACUCUGAUACAGUGAUACGAGCAUGGUAAUAAACACCAGACUCAAUGGUAGCAUUUACCAUAUUGUGGUAAGUAUCGCCAGAAUUCCGGUGAAUACUACGAUAACUCUGGUUUUUUCCACUAAAUAGUAUCACCAAGUAAAAAAUCUAGUAGACUUCUCGUUGAUGUUACCAUACUUUCUUUUCAGUGAAGGUAGAUUUACAAGGGUAGGGACCAAGGAUCUAGAGACUAUAGAUAUAGGGUGAUCCUACACUACGCCUAAGCUGCCGUACUUAAGAAAGCCGUAUGAGCCUUCAGACGCUGCCAAGUUUCCUUCGAUAAAAACCGAAUAUAUUGAGAACAUUGUGAGUAUUUUUCCCCACAAUUUUCAGACAAUUUUGUGCAAGAUUUAAUCUAAAAUAUCUGAAAAUUUCAAGAAAAAAUAUGCAUGAAUGUCGUCGAAAAUACAUGCUUUAUCAAAGGAAAUUUGGCUACUCGCGAAUGUGCAUUCUUCCUUAGCACGGCAGAACAGCGAGAUUCGUAACACACCAGGAGCAACAAUUAUGUUAGGAGGGAAGUAGGUUUCCAUGUUUUCUCAUUGGACUGUUGCUGAAUAAGGACUUAUAUCAAAUUCAGAACCCAUUGUUUGGAAAAUGAAAUUUGAGCAUUCUAGAAGAGAGUUAACGAUAAAAUUCUCAACCCUUAAUCAAUUAUUGUAAAAAUUUCCGUGAGAUCCCAUGUAAUUGAGGUUAUCGAGAGUAGCAAUAGGACAGUUCCACUCCCCGGCCACCUAUCGAACGCCGCUCCAUGUGUGUUACGUUUUUUCGUAGGCCACCACCAAUCUACAGUUGCUAUGUCGUUGAUAGGAACGUAAGAAGAUUUCCUAUGAGCCUCAGCGCGUAAUCACACGGUCCUGUGACGUGAACGAAGGGCAACUCCAUAACCAGACGUUAUAAAUUGACGCUAGACUAACACAAAUACUUACUUCUAAAUCUCAAUAUUAUCAAUACGAUUCCAGUAAUUGAACUAUUUUAGUCAAGACAAAGAGGAUUUCACGAUUUGUUUUAAUAAUUGUAAGAAAAAAACACAAAUUUAUGAUGAUAUAACAAGGUGAAGAAAUGGUGCUGGGUCCACACCAUUUCUCCACCUUGUCACAUAUAGUUCUGGCUACUUCCUAGUGUUUCCUCUCAGUUAUGAUGAUAGUUAUUCGAGGAAUCAGAAAAAACAUCCAAAAUGGAGGUAUAAAAGAGGUUUUUUAAGAGCUAAUCAGAGAAGAGAACGAGAAAAUGUUCUGUCCACGCCUCCCUAAAUCUACCUUGAAUUUGAAAGAAGAAGGAGGGUAGUAGAGUACCUCAACAGGGAGAGAAUCGCUGUGUAAGGGGCGCUGAGGGCCGCUCUUGAUUGGCUCUUCCAUCUUACGUUUUCAUGCGGUUUUAGGACUCGCAAAAAUGGCGGACGGUUGCAAGUAGAUGUAGACGAAGAAUUACCAAAAAUGUGGGUUUAUUUACUUUUAUCAUCGUCAAGUAAUUACUUAAAAUUUGAUGUAAAUAAAAAAUAAUGUAAAUUCUAUUCGUUUUUCAUUUGUCAUAUUGAUUAAUAUCUUAUUGAGCCAAGGGUCGAGUUUAAGGAAAGAAGUCUCAGAUCGUCUCCAGGAGCGUCCUUUUAGUAAUUUUCCUCAUCAAACUUCGAUUUUGGACAGCCGGAGUUCUUGUUGUCCCAAUGAAAUGUAUAUCGUUCCAAUAUGUUCCUUCUCUCACGAAAGAGCCUAACUAUAUUUCAAUGUUGA